UACGUAGGGGGCUAGCGUUGUCCGGAAUCAUUGGGCGUAAAGAGCGUGUAGGCGGUCCGGUAAGUCCGCUGUGAAAGUCGGGGGCUCAACCCUCGAAUGCCGGUGGAUACUGUCGGGCUAGAGUGCGGAAGAGGCGAGUGGAAUUCCUGGUGUAGCGGUGAAAUGCGUAGAUAUCAUUUGGAACGCCAAUGGUGAAAACAGGUAGCUGGGGGUGUGCUGACAUUGAGACACGAAAGCCAGGGGAGCAAACGGG
rnacentral:rRNA from 1 species